ACUGCUGUAUUUGGAAAUGGCCCUAAAGAAGCGAUUUUUCUCUCUCCUGCAGAAGCACCAGCGGCACAUGGACUCCUUAUGAAUGAAAGUGGGGACACAAAAGGACUCCACCAAUGGGUUUUCUUCUUUCGGCCGCGCGAGGUAAAAAACCGCAGGCGUACGCUCCUUGAAGAAUAAGAGCCGCGUUUCCAAGAGGGAUGACGUCCUUAUUUUUGCCGUAUGAGAAGACCUUGAACGCGCUAGUGAGUUUACGUUUAAAUUGGAUUGUUUAUUUAUGAAAAGUUACUUUAGCCCC
rnacentral:lncRNA from 1 species